rnacentral:rRNA from 1 species
UAGGGUUUGAUUCUGGCUCAGAACGAACGCUGGUGGCGUGCUUAACACAUGCAAGUCGAACGAGAAAGUUUCCUUCGGGAAAUUAGUAAAGUGGCGCAAGGGUGAGUAUCACGUGAAUAAUCUGCCCUCGAGAUCGGGAUAACAUGGUGAAAACUAUGCUAAUACCGGAUAAGACCACAUUUCAUAAGAAAUGCGGUAAAAGGAGUCUCAAUCUUCACUCGAGGAUGAGUUCGCGCAACAUUAGCUUGUUGGUGAGAUAAAAGCUCACCAAGGCUACGAUGUUUAGCCGGCCUGAGAGGGUGAACGGCCACACUGGAACUGAGACACGGUCCAGACUCCUACGGGAGGCAGCAGUGGGGAAUAUUGCGCAAUGGGCGAAAGCCUGACGCAGCAACGCCGUGUGAGCGAUGAAGGCUUUAGGGUCGUAAAGCUCUGUCAAAUGGGAAGAAUUUUGACGGUACCAUUAGAGGAAGCCCCGGCUAACUCCGUGCCAGCCGCCGCGGUAAUACA